AAAUAUUGUAAAAUUUAAUGUAGGCAUAUGUACAAAUAUACAAUACAUAUUUCUUGUUGUAACUUGUUUACAGUUCUAUAAAUUAUUUUAAAUAAAAAAAUCAUAUUUUAGCAUAUUUUCAUGUUUAAGGAAUAUUAAGAGAAUAUUUUAAGGUUUUUUUAGAGCAUAUUAGCAUCAUAUUUUAAACUUUUAUGAACCUAAAAAUCCGUUUUCUAGUUAUUAUUAUACUGUCUAUACUUUUUGCCAGUCAGUUAAGUUAGUUACUGCAUAUUCAAACUCGAAUAAUUUUUCAAUAUUAAAAAAUUUGUAUGGAUUAAUAUUACUAAACUCGUGUCAGUCGUACCCAUUCACAAUGAAUUUAACAAAUCACCCUUAUAGUAACUUCUAGUAUUAAAACUAGUAAAGCUUAGAAACUUUUCGUUCUAAUCUAGAUUACAGCUAGUAGACGGCACAAAAGGAGCUUAAGGUUGAGUGAUAAAACCUUCUUCCUAUAGCCUCUAAGUCCCAAAACUUGACGUAGCUUUUUAGUAUUGAUCAAUUUGUUUCUUUUUUCUAACAUUUUUUUUUUAAAACUUAAAAACGUUAUUUAUCGUGCUAUCUUUUUAAAGUACCGAUUCCGUAUAGUUAGGUAUAAUUCAUUUUUAGUUGGAAAUGCAUGUAUAUAAUUAUAAUUAUAUACACUCACAAACAACAAUACAAAAAAUUUGUCGAGUAAAAUGUUAAUAAGUACCUAGAUUAUAUUUUAUUUUUUUAACGUCGUCGUCUUCAACUACAAACAAAUAUUUUUAUAGUAAAUACUAUAUACACUUAUAAAUUACAAUAUACACGGAUAAGUAGUAUAUAAGUACAAUGGAUAGGUAUACGCGGAAACCUACGCGUUUCACGCCUAUUUUAAUAAAACAAUACACACUAUGCCUACACAAAAACGACAAUGAUGAUAAUAAUUUAUCGCAGUGAGAUGCGUUCAAUACGAUUCACGCACAAGUUAACUAUCCCGAAAAAAUGAAUACGUUU